CCUACUUAACCCAGUGGUUAGAGUUUCAUACGGCGGGAGUCAUUGGUUCAAAUCCAAUAGUAGGUA
rnacentral:tRNA from 1 species